rnacentral:rRNA from 1 species
UCGGACGGGUGGAGUAACGCGUGGAAAACCUGCCGUAUACUGGGGGAUAACACUUAGAAAUAGGUGCUAAUACCGCAUAAGCGCACAGCUUCGCAUGAAGCGGUGUGAAAAACUCUGGUGGUAUACGAUGGUUCCGCGUCUGAUUAGCUAGUUGGUGGGGUAAUGGCCUACCAAGGCAACGAUCAGUAGCCGGCCUGAGAGGGUGAACGGCCACAUUGGGACUGAGACACGGCCCAAACUCCUACGGAAGGCAGCAG